rnacentral:lncRNA from 1 species
AAGUCCAAUACUUCAUCUAAAUUUUCAUAAUAAUAAUAACUUAAGUACAAUCCUUAUGUUCGCAAUUCAAAUCGUUCUUACAAAAGUAUAAUCCCCAAAGUAUCAUGAGGUUUACAUUCACUUCAACCACAAGUACAUCAUACCAUAAAGUUCACAAAUCUUUCAAAAUAACCAUUACAUUCCAUAGAGAAAAUCAAUCACAACCCAGAUAAAGGAUAAUCCACGGUACUCGAAAGCCUUGUGCUUGAGUAACUAUCCUUCCCGAGCCCUGCAUAGAACUAAAAUAUUUUUGGGGUGAGCUAAAACUCAAUGAGGUUUCAAAAGGGAAAAUCAAGUUUUUAUAAAUCAGUGCAUAAUUGCUAUUUUAAAAUCACGUGGACAAAUAGGACUUUUGCUAGUAACUUUACUAUGAGUACAACUCAUAAAUCAUUUAAAAUCACUAAUGUAUAUUUGGAAUGAAUGACCAUGUAAAUGUAUUUUCAUGAAUUUUUAUAGUCAAACAAAUAGCGGCUCGUCCGACUAGAAGAACAUUACAAGGAUUGAUUCGUCUCAGAGCUUAAUGCUCAUGAGGAGUCUUACCCGAGAAAUGUCAACUAGGAGAGCAAUAACAGUAGCAAUAGUAAACCAAACACAAAAGGAUACAGUACUCGGUCCACUUCCCGUCCUUAUAACUCCCACCGGUAGCUCCUUUGGUUGACUGGCAAUCACCUUAUCCCUCCAGCGGUAAUACUCGAGUAUACCAAAAUACAAUGCCCAGGGUUAUCAAUCUAUCCGACCGAGUCCGCUUCUGGCUCGAAUAGGUGAUAACGAAGGGGGGAAGGCCUUGUUCAGCCGAUGUGAUAAAGUACACAUGGCCUACAGCAUACACAAGUAACACAUAAACAAUGAAAUAUUGAACAGUUAAGUGAUACAACAACAGUUAGGUCGAGUGCGAUAAAGUACACACUCGCCUAGGAAUAAUUAUUUAUCAUUCACGUGAACAAGAUUCAUCAAGUAUUUCACCACUUAGACAUGUAAGAAGAACUUAUCAAGUCACAUCACGUAUAUAUAUAUAUAUAUAUAUAUAUAUAUAUAUAUAUAUAUAUAUAUAUAUAUAUAUGCAAUUAUACAAACAGUGGUUAUAAAAGUUCGAGAAGCAAUUUUUUUUUUUUGUGCAAAACAGUUUGGAAUCCCUCAUCGUAAUCCGGAGCAAAGCAAGAGCAACAGCAAGAAAAAACAAAACCUCUUAGAUACACACACUCAAGAGCCUCAAGCUCAAACAAAUCGAAAUAGGAAGUUUUCACUUAAUCAUUGGAAUAAUAACUAAAAGGAAUUUAAAGUCCCAUUUCCGAGUUAAAUCAUGGCAAGGACUAUCAAUUCCAAAAGAAGAGUAAAAUGCUUAAAUUUGGCACGAUAAUCGAGAAAGGAGAAAAAUGUGUUCAUACUAGAAAAUCUUCAAUAAAAGCCCAAGUGCAAGAAUAUAAGUGAAAAAUCAUGUUUUCUAAACUUAUGAAGCCAAAGUCUCCUUACAAUCACCCUUUUUUUAUAAUAAAUAUGGAAGUUAAAGUUCUAACUUUCAAAUAGGAAAUUUAGUGAAAUUUUUCAAGAAUUUCUCUAGUUAAAAUGCUCAAGGCCAAAUUUUCAAGUGUUUCGAUUUAUCGAAACCAACAUUCAAAAUAAAGUUCCAAAUUAUAAGUGAGAACCUUUUCACCAUAAAAAUAAGUUUGGAAUAUCCCAAGAGUCUCAAAAGCGUGACCUAAGCUCUUAAAAGAGCAAGUAAAAAUUUCAGUUUUACGCGUGGAAAUUUGAAAAAUCGGUCCGGAAGUCCAGAAAGUCCAAAAAUGAAAAACUUGAUACCGUUGGAAACCUCUUUGAAAUUACUAAUAGUUCUUAGAAGACACUUUUCCAUGAUUCCAAACCGAAGGUAUUCAAAAAUUGGCUCAAAUUUACUGUUUUGGGCACUCAAGACAGGUUUAGGUUGGUUUUUGGCCAACUUUGAAAAUUCGGCAAAAUUCACUUGAUUUGAACUAACCUCUGAAAUUUGGAACUCUAUCAGAUUUACAAUCCAGGUUUAACACAAAACAAACGGAACAAGAAUCUGAGUUUUGAGCACCAAAAUAUGAUAGCUCAAAGUUGCCAAAAUUUUCUUGUUAAACAAGGGUUUUCAAAACUUAAAUCAUGAAAUUUGGAAGUUCAGUUGAGCAUUGAAACGGCUUCGGAAUAGCACCAAAUUUGGUAUGAUUAUAGUACCAUAUAAGGGCUAUUCAUCUACCAAAUUUCAAGGAGAAAUAAGUACAGGAAGUCACUUAACUAAAUCACUCAAUUUCCCAAGAUUUCAAGGCAAAGCUGCCUUGUGCAUGGAAAUUUCCUUUUCUAAACUUUUGACCAAGGAAAAUGCCUAAAACAUGUCCCAUUUAUGAUGAUCAAAUCUGGUAAGGGUUCAAGGCAUAUUUGAUUGGUGAUUUACACCAAAAUUUUCGAGUACAAGUCCCCAAACCAAGAUUUGUUAAGGAUUAGUCCAAAAUGAAGAAUUCCAUCACUAAGUCAGUCCAAAACUUUGGCCGCAACUCACUCAAUUCAACUCGGAAUUGAGCGUGGUUAGUGGCGUUGGAAAAUAAUUCCAUAAAGCUAGAAUUUCUCAGAAGAAAUUAUUUUCAAAAUCCAUCCACAACUAGCUCACAUUGGAGCAUCAAAUCGUAGUUCAUGUUCUGCCCUCUGGUAAACCAACGAAACAGGACAGCAAAUUUCAAACGAAUGGUUUGGCUCCCCCACGUGGAACCAGAAUGUGAAUUUUAUACCAAUGGAAAACUGGGAAUGUCUAGUUUCCAGUGCCACAAACGGCACUCGAUUUCGACAUCGGAGUAAAGAGAUAUAGCCGAUACAAAAUGACUGCCUGGGCAAUCCGGGAAAAUUUUCCAGUUUUACUAAACUUUGGAAAUCAACACAUUUGACCAACCAAAUCAUGUUAUUUUUCAAUGAAACUUUUUACGCAAUCCCAACAACAUAUAUACAUCAUAAAUAAGCCAUUAAAACCAUUAAAAAUCACCCUAAAGGUCACGAACAACAUAAGGGCAGAAUCGGAAAUUUUUCAUCUUCACUUCCCUUUGAGUUUCUACCAACUAUACGACAUUAAUCCACUAGUUUAAGCAAUAAACCCACAUUAAUACCAUUAAAACAUCACAAAUCAGUUCAUCCAUCCAAUGUGGGAGUUCAUAGAGCCCACUCAACAAUUUUUCCAUCAUAAACAAGCUACCCACAUGCAUGUAAGAGCUUAAAUGUGCACUAGAACUUCCAUAAAUCAAGAUUUAGGUAGUUGAUCGUUAAUUACCUUUGAUGAUGACCUAACCAGAAAUUUUCGGCCUCUAAAAGCUGAGAAAAAUUGUGAGAAUCAAGCCUCUUUCCUAGCUUAGGUUGUUCACCAUGUGAUUAGCAAGUUGCGUGUAAAAUUUGAGGUGAUUUGGUGGAGGAUUAGUGAAGAUUUGAUGAAGGAAAAUGAAGAGCUCUUGGUUGUUUUUGCCUUGGAGUUGCACGCUGGAAAUGGAGCUAUGAGACGUCAAUUGAGGUAAAGGUGUGGAGGGUUUUAAUCUAGCGUGAUGCUCUCAUGAGAGCUUAAGAAUGUGUGGCCCAAAAUGCUCCAAAAGUCAACUAAUGUACGCGCGCUUCGUGCUCGAUUCCUCUUGGGUUUAUUUCACUAGUACACUAAACCUCUAAUACACUUUCACUCAUACUAUUAUUAUUCACUCUUAAUGGUCUAAAAAUAAUGAUUUAAAAUCUCUCAAUUAAUCUCGCGCGUAAAAACGCGUAUUACCGAUUGUGUGCGAUAAAGUGGAAUCUCUAAGAAAUUCUUAUAACGAUAGUAUCACUAACUAAUACUUGAGCACUUAAACAUUAAAAUACCUAUUUUAAGACUAAUGUACAAGUCUCCAAUUUUUUUAAGGUUAUUGUACUCUCAGUUCGGCUACAGUUUCCAAACGCGUACUCACUAUUCUCACUUAACGAGCUCUCGAGAAAUAAAUUUUGAAAUCAAGUCAUUUUAAAAAUACACUUGAGCCAUAAUUCCAUGUAAUUGAAGUAAUAAAAGUCAAAAUAAAAUAUUCGGGAUAAAUGGCAAAAAUAAAUAAUUAAAUGAGCUAGAAAUAGGCGUUUAAAAUAAGAAAAUUUGCGAGUCCUUACAAAAUAACUGAGAUAAAGUCUAGAAAUAUCACUAAUAUGGAACUUUAUCAUCCCAACUUCCAAAUCACAAGAAUUUCCGUAAAAUUAAUCAAGAUCAACUCAUCCAAUAACUUAACCACAACAUUAAAGAAUAAAAUAAGCUUCUAAUGAUUAUACCUUCCAACACCUUGAAAACAAGCAAAGAAAACCCUUUUCUUCUCAAAACUCUCCACCCUUAGCUUGCUAUCCCCUUAGAUGUGAAGUUAAUCAGAGUAGAUCUUGGCACUUGGAAGAAAACUCUCAAGAUUUGGUGAAGGAAAUCAAAGAGAAAAAUGGAGUUUUCUCUCUUUGUUUUGCUCCCAAGAAGUUCGGUCAGCUUAGAGAAGAAAGAAAAGUGGCUUUUGAACUCCAAAUGAAGUCAAAAGAUGAAGACUUAAUCACUAAGGAAACUGUACGACGACAGAAUUCUAGCCGGAUUCAAGGCAGAAGCUUUGCAAAUUUUAUUUUCAAAUCACCAUGCCAAUCCGGCCAGUAUGCGGCCGAAUUCUCUCAAAACACUGCUCACCAGAAAUUUUUCUUUCUUCUUCUUUUGGGGCGUCACAGUCAAUAUGUCUCGUCGAAUUUUAGUUGGUGCAAAUCGCAUUAAUUGUGAUGCCCAAGAGUGACUCUUUGAAGAGGUCACGAAUAUGCAAAAUAUGAGACUCGAAAAAAAGAAAAGAAAAUAAUAAUAUACAAAAUAUACAUGAGCUAAAGGAUAUACAUGAGCUAAAGGAAUGCAUCAUAACGGAUGUGGGGAACCAAGAUUCGUGACUAUAUUUUCUUUUUUAUAGAGGAGAUACGAACGUGUUAAAGCUAAAAGGCCAUACUCGUCCAUAUCCCAUAUUUAAAGGGUUAAUUCUCCUAAUUUUGGUCAAGCAAAUGAUCUAACAUAUUUCUAAUUUUCCUAAAUGAGAUGCAAAUCUAAAUGUUAUGUUUUGCAUAUAGGGAUAGGGGUAAGGGAUAUUUAUUCGGGGGAAUAUUAUGCAAAAAUGGUAAGGAUCCUAAAAUAAAUAGAAAAUAUGCAUGAAAUGUAGUGAUUUGUCACACAAACAUGAUCUAAUGCGUGGAUGGUCCCUAAGCGUCUAGCGUUGGACUAACUCAUGUCUAUAAGUUCUCACUAGCGUUGGACUAGUGAGAAAUUAGAAAUGAGGGCCACAACUAGCGUUGGACUAGUGUGGAAUCGGAAAAAAGGGCCACAACUAGCGUUGGACUUGUGUGGUGACGUCAUGCAUUUAUUAUAAUCGAAUAAAUCACAUAAAACAUGAUAAAGCAAGUAAACAUAUAAUCACAUGUAGCACAUGGCACAUAAACAUGAUAUCUAGAUGCAAAGAUCCUAAGAAAGCGAGUAAACACAUAAGCACACAAGCAUGCAAACACAUAAACAAAUAAAAGCGAAUAAAGACCAAACUAUUACAUUCGGGGGCCCUAACUACAAUCUAAAGGGGUAAAGAAUGAAACAAAAUAAAAUAACUAUUACAAUUUGGCAUUUAAUCGCCUUUCAAAUAAUCAAAAAUUAAAUUAAAAUAAAUAUACAAAAUUAAAACCAAUAAAGGGAAUAAAUAUAUAAAUGAAAUAAAAUAAAAAACAUUCAAACAAGCAUGAAAUUACACACAUAAAAUCACAUAGGAGACCAUAGGAUCAAGUAAAAUCAAAAUAAAGGAGUAGAGUGUACCUCCCUUGAAUUGGUAACCUAAUGAAAUGAAAUUUCUCUUAUUUACCCUCCAGCACGAAAAAAAUGGUUAAGGCACCACUUUAAUUAUCAAACAAUCAUAAGAGAUGGAAAUAAACAUGAAAUUGAACAAUUAAAUCAUUUAAACGAAAGUAAACAACCCAUCUUCAAGAAAUUAAAAUAAGCAAGGACCUAAUUUACCCAAUUAAAGAAGUUUGAGGGGUCAAAUUAUUAUUAUUACAAAUAUUAAGGGUCUAAAUUAAAAUAAAAUAAAAUAAAGGGCUUAAGAUGAAACCUACCAAAACCAAAUGCUAAAAUUCACAAAAAUAAAUCAAAACCCUCUCAUCAAACCCCAAAGCAAAAAUAUUACCCAAAUUUUAAUUAUUUUACUAAAAAUCCAAAUAAAAACUAUAAAUCUAUCAAAAUUAUUAAACCUCAAAUUUCAUCCUAAAAUUCAUAAAUAAUCUGUCCGAAAAUCACAUUAGAACAUACCAAAGAAAAUUAACAUUUUGAAGGGACAAAAUUGAUUACUUUUCCCAAAUUUCUGUGCCAUAGUAGUAUUAUUUAGAAAAUUAGGGGUUAAAGUGCAAUUUUUUAAAAAUUGCAUGCAAAGCUUCGGGAAAGAGCUUUCUUCUGCGACAUUCUAUAACCGAAAGCUUUUUGCAAUUUUCUUCUGGAUCAUGAUGCAAACUUCCCUUCACAUAAAAUCUCAACCAAACAUCAAACUUUAUUCUGGCAAUCAAACACAGUAAUUCAACAUCCAAACAUGCAAAAAAAUCAGAAUAGGAACUUGCAAUUCUUCUUGUGCAAGACUCAUCACAUGGAAGACAAAGGGAAAAAAAUGCAUGGCUGAUGGAAAACAACUCUAGUUGAGUUUACUCACGGGUUUAACUCUCUCCUUUUUUUUUGUGACGAAGAUAGGUGACAAAAUCACGAUAUAAAGCCAUAGUUCAAGUCCUCCCCCCCAACAGAUCCACAAAUGGCAGCAAAUAUAGAAGGAAGAAAGCCGACAAGAAGCAUUGCAACAAGAGUUUCAACUUUUCUGAUGCAGAUUCAACACUAUAUGAGUGGAAAAAGGGGAGAAAGAAACUACCUUUUUGCACCUUAAAAGGUAGAAAGAAGCAUGAAACCAGGAGCAAACCCAAAACGCGUGAAAUUGCAGAGGUGAAAAACCAAGUUUUGCUGCGAAAGCUGUUCAAGAACUGAUGAGUCUGCACUUUUGAGCCUAGAUUUGACGAGCUUAUGGACUUUUAAUCUGAAAAUUUCCAACGAAAAAAUUCUUCACCUACAUCUAUAGAGUAUCCAGAACUCCAGAAUAGAUCUAAAAGAGGUCAAUAAGAAGGAAAAAAAAUGGCGUCUGAACCCAGUCACUCCUCCAACCCUGGCUCACUUUUCCAAAAAUUUCUCUACACUUUUCUCUCAAUCUUCCUCGAUCUUUCCUCUCUAUUUCUUUUUGUUUUUUCCUUCCUUUUUCCUCUGAUUCUCCCCAGAUCCUUCCCUAGAUUCCUCCUUGCUCUCUUUCUUUCCUCCCCCCUUUUCUUUUUUUUCUUCUUCCUCUCUUUUUCUCCCCCGAAACCCUUUUUCUUCUUUUUUCGUUUUUCCUUUUCCCAACUUCCCUCUUGUUUCCUUGCUCUCCAGAGUCUCUCCCUUUCUCUCUUACUCUCCCAGAUUUCUCUUUCUCUUUUCAGCCACCCCCUCUCUCAAUCUCUUGCUCUCUCUCCUUUUCCAGAUUUUUCUCCCAUUUUUUCCUUCCAAAUUUCUCCCAAUCCAACAAGUGUCCUUGCCACCUAGCUCUUAAGUGUUGUGGUAUAAAAAAAAAAAUAAAGACACUUG